CCCCUUCGGCGUCAGUAAAGCAGAGAUAGGUAAGGGGAGAGGGGGGAAGAGAGAGAUAGUGAAAAUGGAGACAGUUUUAGACUUCUAGAGACGUCGUUUGCUUCCUUAACGCCACGACGAGUUGCAGGUUGCUCUCAUACCCCCUGCGACGACUACCUGUCGUGUGCUCGUGACUGUGCCUACUUUUUCCUUCGCUGGGACUUUUAUUUUGUCUGUUAUCUUCACGUCUUCCGUUUCUCGUCACAGAACCUAUAGGCUGCAAUCUUCUCUUUCUUAUAGUACAUCUUUAGUGAGUGUGCCUUCGUACUCUCCCAAGCGAAAAACUUCUUCAACGAUGUUACCAAACAUUGGAAAAAGAUAUUUAUAAGUACUAAAAAAAUCAAAAUAAUCAACUUUGUCACCCAAUUGAUCCAUUGUGUCCUACAAUUGAUCGACACAGCGG
rnacentral:rRNA from 1 species